rnacentral:pre_miRNA from 1 species
AUGUAGGGCAAUUUGUCUUUAAGCAGGGGUAAAUUACCUUUUAAAAAAAUUCCUAGAUAGCUUUCUCUUCAAGUAAAGUAUCUUCC